UUCCGAUGUGAAAAGAAGAUGGAUGGAGAAGCACUGAUUCAGCCAUGGCUGACAUGUCGGAGUUGGAAUGGACAGUGCCCGGACCUCACAGUCUCAGAGAACUGGAGAAGAGUAAAGCUGAAGAGGGCAUCAUCUGGUUACAAAUGACAAGUCCAGGGCUCCAGAACUCAGGCCAUGUAGAGAGGCCACAUGGGAACUGAGGUUCCUAGUCCUCAGCUUCCACUGAGCUCCCAGCCAACAGCCAGCAAUAACUUGCCAGAUGUGUGCACAGGCCAUCCUGGAAGCAGAGGAUCCAGCCCUCAGCCAAGAUGCCCCAGUUGAUUCCAUGUGAACUAGGAAUGAGCCCUCCUGCUGAGCUCUGCCCAAAUUACAGAUCUGUGAGCAAACUAAAUGACAGUUGUAUUAAGCUACACAGAAAUAGAUAACUGGAAUACCACCCAUGUCUUUCUUUCCAAACUUAGUUAACUGAGUCUGAGCUAAAGAGAAUUCACACUGUAUAUCUUAUAUUGAAUACCCACUAUAUCUGGGGCAUGAUUGCUAAUAAUCCUCACAAUAGCCCUACAAUAGGAAACGAUCAUCCUCAUUUCACAGAUGGAGAGUUUAAUGGUAAGCCUGAACUCAGACUCAGACUUGUUUGACUUGAGAGCCCAUACCUCUUUCACUAAGCCAUACCAUCUCCAUUCACUCUAUGCUGUCUGGCCACCUGAGAGGCUGUCUGUAAGUCUAUCUCCUUAUUAACCCAUCAUUCCUGCUACUUCCAUGAUAAUCGGCAAGGCUGAAUGAUAGCUCUCAGUUCUAUGGGGUCUUUCCAGGAGAAGGGCCAAAGAGGAGUGGUUGAUCACAAAGUCAUCGGCACAAAAAGAUGGUGGCCAAGCUACAGUCCUGCAUGGCACAUGAGCCAGAUGAUCAAGUAAUGAAAGCUAUGCUAAGAAAUGUGGGCUUUAUCUUGUGGAGAAGGAGAUGCAGUAGAGGCUUUUUAAGGUACAUUUCAGAACAAUUAUUAUUUUUAUAUUUAUUAUAUAUUAUUUAUAUAUAUAAAACCACAAAUUAUAUGCUACAUAUAUACAUAUGUUUUUAUGUCUAUAUAUAAACACAUAUAUACGUUUAUAUAUAUAUACAUAUGUAUAUACAACACAUAAAAUUUACCAUCUUAACCUUUUUUUUUUCCAAGAUGGAGUCUCAUUCUGUUGCCCUGGCUGGAGUGCAGUGACACGAUCUCGGCUCACUGCAACCUACACCUCCCAGGUUCAAACAAUUCUCAUGCCUCAGCCUCCCUAGUAGCUGGGAUUACAGGCGCCCACCACCAUGCUCAGCUCAGCUAAUUUUUGUAUUUUUAGUAG
rnacentral:lncRNA from 1 species